CAUCACGUUGAACCAGUUCCCAUAUGAUCACUGAAGUUAAGCAAUGUCAAGCCUGGUCACUACCUAGAUGGGUGACUGCUUGGGAAUACCAGGUGCUGUAAG